UGGGGAAUCUUAGACAAUGGGGGAAACCCUGAUCUAGCCAUGCCGCGUGAGUGACGAAGGCCUUAGGGUCGUAAAGCUCUUUCGCCAGGGAUGAUAAUGACAGUACCUGGUAAAGAAACCCCGGCUAACUCCGUGCCAGCAGCCGCGGUAAUACGGAGGGGGUUAGCGUUGUUCGGAAUUACUGGGCGUAAAGCGCGCGUAGGCGGAUUAGUCAGUCAGAGGUGAAAUCCCAGGGCUCAACCCUGGAACUGCCUUUGAUACUGCUAGUCUUGAGUUCGAGAGAGGUGAGUGGAAUUCCGAGUGUAGAGGUGAAAUUCGUAGAUAUUCGGAGGAACACCAGUGGCGAAGGCGACCACCUGGACGGGUACUGACGCUGAGACGCGAAAGCGUGGGGAGCAAACAGGAUUAGAUACCCCCGUAGUCC
rnacentral:rRNA from 1 species